rnacentral:rRNA from 1 species
UGGGGAAUAUUGGACAAUGGUCGAAAGCCUGAUCCAGCCAUGCCGCGUGUGUGAAGAAGGUCUUCGGAUUGUAAAGCACUUUACGUUGGGAGGAAGGGCAGUAAGCGAAUACCUUGCUGUUUUGACGUUACCGACAGAAUAAGCACCGGCUAACUCUGUGCCAGCAGCCGCGGUAAUACAGAGGGUGCAAGCGUUAAUCGGAAUUACUGGGCGCAAACCGCGCGUAGGUGGUUCGUUAAGUUGAAUGUGAAAGCCCCGGGCUAAACCUGGGAGCUGCAUCCAAAACUGGCUAGCUAGAGUAGGGCAGAGGGUGGUGGAAUUUCCUGUGUAGCGGUGAAAUGCGUAGAUAUAGGAAGGAACACCAGUGGCGAAGGCGACCACCUGGGCUCAUACUGACACUGAGGUGCGAAAGCGUAGGGAGCAAACAGG